AACAAGGGAUAGCGACACUGAUCUAUAAUAUAGAACAUAUAUAGAUCAGUGGAUAGCGAGCGAGUAGAUUAGAGCAGAAUGGCCGGGUUGGAAGAAUUUGCACACAUAGUAAGACAGCUUUUUGAGAGUGAAAAAAAAACUCAUGCCGAGAGUUCCGCACUGCAGUCACGCUAUCUGCGCUUCAAGUUCAUCGCGCGUCUACUCGGCGUUGCGUAAUAGAUUAAGGUGCGAGCGUGUUAAAGACGCUACCGUCUUCUUCUUUAGUAAAUCCUCCUUCGGUUAUCAUAUUUUAUUCAUAUUCGUAUUCAUAUUCACGGCCUUCUAUUUAAGUUUUCACCAUUUAUUUUACUAUAAUUAUGUGUUUUUAUUUAUUUAUGUAUUUUUGGAUUCAAAGCUGUAUACUUUUUUUUUUAUGUGGAAUGCUGCUAAAUUAAUGCAUAAUUUGGAUUAUGUUUUGUACAGCUGUCUUUCUACUUACAGUUGACAUUAUUCUAAAUCAGUUGGAUCCAUGGAUUUUUAAGAAUGACGGAAUUCAUUCACGUUUUAAGUGUUAUAAGUGCAUGUUAUCAUUCAAUAUGUACCUGCUAUUGUAUGGUGUAUCGUGCUUAUUUGGACAAAAUCAACAUAAAGUGAGGGGGAAAAAAUAUUAAAAAUGACAAAACCAAACUGUUUUCAUGUCAUUCCACUGUUUCAUUAUUAUUUCAUAAUAAUGUUUGUUUUUGUAGAUGUUGAAAGCAAGAGACAUAGGAGAGCAUCAUUCUUUUGAGAUUUAUAACUCAAGCUAACUUUGGAGUUAAGGACACAGAAGUCUCCUUGUAUGAGGAGGAGGGGUUUUUCUCAGCUUCUUCAGAAGAGAGGGGAAAGACAGUUUAAGAUGUUGAAAGCCAGAGACAUAGAACUCAAACCAACUUUGGAGUUGUCUGAUUUGGCGAGUCAUCAUUCUUGGUCUUCCGUCUUAAAGGAUAGGUUCACACAAAAAAAUCAUUUACUUGCCCUCAUGUCAUUCCAAACCUAUACGACUUUUGUAUAUCUUUAGAAUACAAAUGAAUAUAUUUUGAAUUUUCUCAAAUUUUUGUUAAUCCAUUGAGAGUCUAUAUAAUCAGUAUUUUCAAGCCUCAUAAAUACAGAGUUAUUGUAGAAGUAAUCCAUUCCGAUAUUUAUAUAUGAAUAAAUCUUAAAUUAUAUGAUAGCAAACACGUAUGUUCAAAAUAAAACAUUUUUUGGUGGACUAACCCUUAGCGGCCCUCCACGUACAUGAACAUUUGUGAGGCCACUGAUGAAGAACAGGCGGUGACUGGGAUGAAUGCUGGUCAAAGAGGAGAAUGUCCUUUCCCCUAAACUGAUGCAACAGUGAUUUUAAAGGAGGACACUGCCCUGGAUGAUGUAGAAGAUGUCACAUGCUGUGCUGAUGGGGCUUCUUCAUGACUACAUCAAUUAUGCUAAAGAGAUCAUGAAAGUUGACAGUGAUGCAUGAUCUGUAUGCAUGGACUAUGAAACAAACUGUAAGUGUAUACUUUGUAAAAACAAUGUUAAAUGCUUGUUCUGUGUUGUUUAGUUAAAGAGUUUACACUCUGUCAUUCAUACACAUGCUCACAUUCUUUCACACACACACAUCUGUUAAAUGUUAUAAUAUCAGUGUUAAUGUUGUGGUUUAUUUGUGUACUGUCAUGCUAGAAUAGUUGGUAAAGAACUUAACUAAUUGUACAUUUAUUGUAUAAUAGUGUGUUCAUAUAUUUUUAUACAACAUAUAAAAUUUAACAAAGUCUAAUUUGAUCUUAAAAGUUAUAUACA
ensembl:lncRNA